AUACGGAGGAUGCGAGCGUUAUCCGGAUUUAUUGGGUUUAAAGGGUGCGUAGGCGGAUUUUUAAGCGUGAGGUGAAAUGCCCGGGCUCGACCUGGGAACUGCCUCGCGAACUGGGAGUCUUGAAUGCCCCUGCCGUGGGAGGAAUGUGUGGUGUAGCGGUGAAAUGCAUAGAGAUCACACAGAACACCGAUUGCGAAGGCAUCUCACGAAGGGGUGAUUGACGCUGAGGCACGAAAGCGUGGGGAUCAAGCAGGAUUAGAUACCCUGGUAGUCCACGCAGUAAACGAUGAUAACUAACCGCUGGGCUUAUGUGGUUCAGUGGCCAAGCGAAAGCGAUAAGUUAUCCACCUGGGGAGUACGACCGCAAGGUUGAAACUCAAAUGAAUUGACGGGG
rnacentral:rRNA from 1 species